AUGCUCAGUAGGCGACACUACAAUAUUGGCGAUAACCUGGAUUGCCUUCUAUGCAACCAACACGUUGAGGAGACUGUGGAACAUCUGUUCUUUCGCUGCACUUUUAGUUCAACCUGCUGGCAAUAUUUGGGAAUUCAUUGGCCAACACAGGGCAACAGAUUGGAUUUGAUAUCACAUCUAAAGAUGAGAGACGGGUGCAAGAUGAUCAUGGACAUCUUCCUCGAUGCUGCAUGGAGCCUCAGGAAGGAACGUAACAAUAACUACUUUCGACAUGUGACCCCCACGGUCACCUCCUGGCGGACACGCUUCAAGAAAGACUUCUCUGAUAUUAGUCAUAGGCUACCACCACAUAAGAAACACUUAGUGGCCACUUUUAUUGCUAAUCUUGACUAA
rnacentral:rRNA from 1 species